AGAGGACACGGCUCAUCCAGCUACACCAGACCUGGGGGUAGGACUCUGUGUGCAUAUUGCAGCAAUCUGAGGAACUGGUACCCCCUGUGACAGAGCCCUACAGAGAUGUGACAAAAAAAGGUGUCUCUGCCCUGAGCCAUUUCAAAUGGCUCUGCAAGUCAGGGCCACCGAGGAGUCAAAUAUGCUGCACAGAAGGUGAAGAUGGUGUUGGUCCAUACCCAGCAGGGAGAAUCUUGGUGUCCUGC